GUUCCAUGAUCUCUUCUUCUAUUGGUUCAAUCAUAAGAAGUCCUCCUUUACUACAGCGAUGCUCACGGCUCCACGGCUCGUCACAAUGCCAACAUAACCCCUUCGUAUAUCGCUCCCGAAGCUCCUCUCUUGUUAACCUCUUUGGUGUAGGGACUUGGUUGAUAGUAGGGGGGGCUAAGGGCUUCAAUAUUACUGGUUGAGGAGCAACCCUAGUCCUCCGAGCUUCAUGGUUCAAUUGCUCCUCUUGAUGUCGUGCGAAAGAGAUGGCUGCCAUAAGCGU
rnacentral:lncRNA from 1 species